GUGUUGACUUCCACAGCACGUAUAGUAAAAUUGGAAUGAUACAGAGAUUAGUAUGACCCCUGCACAAGGAUGACACACAAAUUAGUGAAGCGUUCCAUAUUAAA
ensembl:snRNA U6 U6 spliceosomal RNA